rnacentral:misc_RNA from 1 species
UUUAAGGGAGACCUACCCACUCAAAUUACCGAGGACAAGUAAAAGUUGUAAACAGGUAAUGAGUUGGUCAUCCCAGGUCGGUCGUAGGRUAGUAGUCAGGCUUUCAAACUAUUAGAAAGGUUCGGUAAUCAUAAAUAAAAAACAGAUGGAUAAAUAUAAAAUCAGCAACUUAGCAUAAUUUUAGGAGCUAAGACUGCUGGGAUUUAACCAGCCAGAACCUUGAAAACUGCAUAGAGAAGCGAAGAGUAGGUAGUUCAGUGUGCAUUUGUGAGCUUUCAGUUUUUGAAAGCUGAGGAAUGGACAGUGAGUAACAGACACGAAUGUGUAGAGAAGU